ACCGCCGCAAUGAAUAGCGCCUUGGACUUCUAAUCCAAAAGUCGUGGGUUCGAAUCCCAUCUGGGAUG